rnacentral:lncRNA from 1 species
CUUAAGGACAUUGGAUUCUGAAAGACUGGAUGGGGAGUACUCCAUUUGCCAAGGCUGUCUUAUGAAGAGUUUGGACGUGUACUUGUAAUGUGUACCUGAUGAAGAACAUCUUGAGGAAAACACUCACCUGCUUGUGGCUCCUUGUGCUCUGAUUAAGUUGUUAGAGUUCCACUGGACUGUCUUCCCAGUGACAUGGAAAGCAUGUGUGUCUUGGAGCAGAGAAGCAAUACUGACAGCUUGGAAGAUCGCUACUGCGGAGCCAACAUGAUAAGGAACCAGAACCAGGGUCAGCAGUUGAAUAUGAGC